rnacentral:rRNA from 1 species
UACGUAGGCAGCGAGCGUUGUUCGGAUUUACUGGGCGUAAAGAGCGUGUAGGCGGCCGUACAGGUCAGCUGUGAAAACUCGAGGCUCAACCUCGAGACGUCGGUUGAAACCGUACGGCUAGAGUCCGGAAGAGGAGAGUGGAAUUCCCGGUGUAGCGGUGAAAUGCGCAGAUAUCGGGAAGAACACCCGUGGCGAAGGCGGCUCUCUGGGACGGUACUGACGCUGAGACGCGAAAGCGUGGGGAGCGAACAGG